GCCCCACCCAAUCUACAGAUUCAGUUAGUCAAGAUGCUUAAAUAGGACUUUACUUUUCACAAAGUCGGAAUUUUUUACUCAUAAAUUCCUCGCAAGACAUUCAAAAUUCUUCACAAAUUUUGCAAUAAAGUUAUAACUUUGAAAUCUCCUACACUAAAGCUUGAUCCCAGGAUAUCCGUGGAAAUUUGACAUGAGAUAACCUUGUGAUACAUCAUUUUCAUAGGAGAAUUGCCAUUAUUUGGUACCAGGGUAACGCUUUCCGGGCUUACGCGGUAGCCGCAAAUGAAGUUCGUCAAUUCAUCCCCAAAGGAAUGGUCGAUCAAGGAAAUCACGACUGAGUUAUUUUGGCAUCGUUCCUAUGCAGCCAAGAUGGAAGAUUGCAGACCUACGUGGGGAAUAUCACCUCCAGAAGACAGCUAAAUAACAUUGAAAGUAUCGUUUAUGGAUAGAAAUUUAGAACCUUCCUUCUGAACCAAUUUUGCAUUAGGAUUAAUUUAAUUUUAAAUUGAACAACAGCUAGAUACGAUGGAUAUCACGUCACUUCAAAUGCACCAUUUAUUUGAUUUACUGCAAAGGGUGCCCUAAAUGUGUACUAUGGUUUACGCACUAAAAUUAGACCCUUUUGGUAUCAGGGUCUAAUUGUAGAAUACACACGUUAGUUACUAGCUUGAAUAUAUAUCUAUUUAUUGUAAUUGACGGACUCUCGGUAUACCAAUACAAGCGGAUUCGUAUGGACCUAAUAACGUA